rnacentral:rRNA from 1 species
CCUACGGGUGGCAGCAGUGAGGAAUAUUGGUCAAUGGGCGAGAGCCUGAACCAGCCAAGUCGCGUGAAGGAAGAAGGAUCUAUGGUUUGUACACUUCUUUUAUAUGGGAAUAAAGUGAGGAACGUGUUCCUUUUUGUAUGUACCAUAUGAAUACGCAUCGGCUAACUCCGUGCCAGCAGCCGCGGUAAUACGGAGGAUGCGAGCUUUAUCCGGAUUUUUUGGGUUUAAAGGGUUCUUAGGUUGUAAAUUAAGUCAGAGGUGAAAGUUUGUGGCUCAACCCUAAAAUUGCCGUUGAAACUGGUUGACUAGAGUAUAUUAGAGGUAGGCGGAAUGCGUGGUGUAGCGGUGAAAGGCAUAGAUAGCACGAAGAACUCCGAUUGCGAAGGCAGCUUACUAAACUAUAACUGACGCUGAAGCACGAAAGCGUGGGGAUCAAACAGGAUUAGAUACCCCAGUAGUC